AACUUUCUCCCUGCAACCUUCUCUAGAUCCGGCACCCUUACAGCGAUCUUCCUGCUCGCAGUGUCAAGGUUGAAGAAGGCCACGUAGAUCUCUCCUGCUCCAUGGAAGACGAAGAAUCAGCACAAAGAAAAGGGAUGCUUAUUCGCCAUGUGUGCAUUGGCAAAGAAGCAUGCUGCUUAGGUCGAGAACAUGGGAGUCCGACUCGCUGAGCUUGUUCGCCAUGGACUGGCAGAUGCAUCCAAGCAACCAUCAUCGGUGUCCAUACCCGCCAGAUGAAACUUCGCUUGGUCUUCCUCAUUCCUCAUGGUGACUCCAUCCCUGGAUAACAUUAAUAUGUGUGGAUCAUACGUACAAGUGAAAAUUUGAGUACUGCUUCCUUUCAUGAAUUGUUUCGUCGCAUGGCACUUACACAGUUUGACGAAGUUUUGCUUUAGAUAUGCAAAAUGAGGCAUUGCGAUUCUGGAUUC